AUGCCUGCCUCAUUCAGUGCACAAAGUGGCGGAAUUAAGGGUCCACAGUUGCUCUCUACCCAGAAGGUGAAUUCUUUUAGAAAGUUUGAACAAAAUCCCUUCAGAGACAGAGGCUAUUGCUUUCAGGCAGUCGCUGGGACAAUUUGCCUGAGGAAGAUUGUAUAGUGGAGGUGCGGAGCACAGACAGUGAGCUGGAUGGCUGGCAGGGGAAGAAGGGAUGGAAUCUCUACUAUUGGUCAUGCCUACCCUGAAAGACAGCCAAAAAAUAGCACAACCCAGGGGAGAGGCUUAGGAACUGGACCUGAGGCCAGAAAGCUCCAGCCAAACUCAAGUGUUCAACAGGUGUAUUCCUCCAGCAACAUGAUAACCCAUCAUUCUUAAUUGUCAAUGCCAGUGAUGUGCUGUGGGCCCACAGGUUCCUCUUGUUAAAAUGUCCUGCAUUCUUCUUCCCUUAUCUGCUGAGCAGCAAAAAGAGAGAGAAGAUGACAAAGAAACCAGCUGCCCUGGAAGAAGAAUGCUACAGUUUUUCCAAGUGUGCAGCAAGGACUAGUAGAGCUUGAUGCACAUAGUAGAUUGAGCUAGUAUAUCUGCUCCUGACCUCUGUAGGUAAAAUGCCUGUGGCCACUGUCACUAUGCCUCCUCUCCAUGCCCUCGUUUAGUUUAAUUGUGGCCCUAGGAACAUUAAUUCAGACCUUGACUUUGACUUCAUUUAUCCCAGCUGCUGCAUUGGGGGGGGGGAGGAGGAGAAGCAGCAAUUCACUGAAAACACAUGCUGUCUCUGCACUAAC